AAGGAUAUUAUAGCUAAAGACACUAUGUUGCCAUAUGGAGGGUUAAUCACUCGAUUCCUACUUGCCCAUGACAUUUGUAUCCCACCCGAUGAAGAAACAAUUCAAAAUGAUCGGUAUAACAUCAUCAAUAGAAAUCUGCUGAAAAGACUUAGGUGCACAUUUAGCAACGGUAUAUGGGUUAGGCAACCUAGAAGGACUGAUCC
rnacentral:lncRNA from 1 species